UACGGAGGGUGCAAGCGUUAUCCGGAUUCACUGGGUUUAAAGGGUGCGUAGGUGGGCAGGUAAGUCAGUGGUGAAAUCUCCGGGCUUAACCCGGAAACUGCCAUUGAUACUAUCAGUCUUGAAUACCGUGGAGGUAAGCGGAAUAUGUCAUAUAGCGGUGAAAUGCUUAGAUAUGACAUAGAACACCAAUUGCGAAGGCAGCUUACUACCCGAAUAUUGACACUGAGGCACGAAAGCGUGGGGAUCAAACAGG
rnacentral:rRNA from 1 species